ensembl:lncRNA
UUGAAAUUUUGGAUCCGUGGCCAGGAAACUCCCCGGGUCUCAAUCCCAUAGAGAGCCUGUGGCCAGUCCUUAAAAGGUGAGUGGACAAGCAGAAGCCCACAAACUGUGAUCAACUCAGCAAACUAAUGAGGCAAGAAUGGAUCGCCAUCAGUCAGGAUUUGGCCUGAGUAUCAUCAGCAUAACAGUGAAAGCUGACACCAUGUUUCUUGAUGAUAUCUUUCAGGGGGAACAUGUAGAGGGUAUAGUACUGAGCCUUGUGGAACACCAUACUGUACUUGUGAUCGAUAUGAUACCUCUUAAUUUACUGCUACGAAUUGAUGAUGGUCAGACAAGUAUGAUUUGAAACAUUCCAUUUGAACACAUUAGAGAAACCAACCUUUUCCAAACUUCGAAUUAAAUAAGCCAUUUCCUGUUCCCUUAAGUGUGGCUGCACCAGUUGCAAUGUAAGGACAGCCCUGGUCAGAAAUGUGUAAAUGCAAUAAAAACUCAGGCCAAAACACACAAACCAAUUGCAAAUGUUUUAUUUAAAGUAUAAUAUAUUAAAUGCAGUUAACAAAUCAUCAAAUACCAUUAAAUAUGAAGUGUCUGUAUAAUACUUUUUUUCAGCAUUGUUAACUGAAAUUAUGUGACUGAUAGUUUGAUAGUCCUCUGGAGCACUGGUUUGAAAAUAGCCGCACAAAGCAGUGCUUUAAAGGCACACAUCAUUAACAACAGCCCAGAACACCCUAGCAACUGCAUGGCAGCAUCCUGGCAACAACCAUCAACCCCCUAUGAUUGUGCUGAUGAUUUUGCACAGGGAAAGAUCUAGUUAUUUUAUUUCAAAAUCUGAAAACAUGGCAUAAUUCUGCAUAGAAAUUGAACAUAAAUAUAAGUAUAUUUUGGCAUUUAAUGAUGUGCUGUUGACUUCAAUAUGAAACAUUAUUCAUGCAGAGAGAGAACGGGAGAGGCAUAGGAGAAGGAGUCACAGUAGCUCCGCUGGCCACAGUAAGAAGCAGCGCAGCUGGAGCAAAGACAGAAGCAGUCGCAGCAGAGGAAAGCGCAGCCGCAGUCGAGAGCGUAAGAGCCGAGACCACAGGAGCAGCUCUAGAGAUCAUAAGAAACACAGCUAUUCUCCACGUCGAACAAGGAAGAAAAAGAUGUGCAAGUAUUGGGAUGUUCCCCCUCCAGGCUUUGAGCACAUCACUCCAAUGCAGUACAAAGCCAUGCAAGGUGCAUGAGUAAUUCAAUAUCACAGUAACAGUCUUGAUCGUCCUUGUUGCACACACACU